AUGGCUGGCACAGGACCCCCGGGGCACGGCAGGUGCCCGUUGCCCGCUCCGCCAGCGGCUGCAUUCCCCAAAAGCACACCAUCCCAUCGUGUCUGCUGCCUCCUGACCCCCGGCCCUUAUCUCAUCCCACAUCACCUUCCUGCGUUUCCUGGCCUCUCCCUGCCCCGGGCCAUCCCUGGGUCUCCGGAGCGAGCCGUGGCCACGCCCGAGCUGGCGCGGGUUACCAGCAGCCGCGGGGCUGGGACCGCUCGCCGCCGGGCCCGGGCUUCGCGCUCGUCCUGGCCGCUGGGGCCUCGGAGAGCGGCGGCAGGAGCGAGGCAUCACCCGAGCGCUGACAGGCGCCUCUCCGCCUUCCCCGCCCGGCGCAUUCGCCUUGCCACGUGCAGAACCCGGCAGGCGCGGACCGCCAGCGCCCUCGCGGUUGCCGUGGCUACGCACGAGCGGCCGCAGCUGACCCAGGCGGGGCCUCCCUCCGCCGCCUCCGCCUCGGGCUCCGUCCCCGCUCGGUUAGGGAACCCCAAGCCCCCGGCCCCUACAAGCUGUGCACACCUGCAGCAGACCCGUUUCUGCAAAGCUGUCUUGUCUCCAGGGGAUCAUCGCCUUAUGACUGUGGAGAAUGUGUUGAGACUAUUUGCAGAAAGGAUUGUCCAAUGCCAGACAAAAUGGAUUUGAAAAAUGCCUGGUGCAAUGGGGAAAAAG
rnacentral:lncRNA from 1 species